GGGAUAGGCGGGCGCGAAUUCGCCCUUACUCCUACGGGGAGGCAGCAGUGGGGGAAUUUUGCGGCAAUGGGCGAAAGCCUGACCCAGCAACGCCGCGUGGGUGAUGAAGGCCUUCGGGUCGUAAAGCCCUUUUUCAGGGGAAGAUAAUGACGGUACCCUGAGAAUAAGCCCCGGCUAACUACGUGCCAGCAGCCGCGGUAAUACGUAGGGGGCAAGCGUUGUCCGGAUUUAUUGGGCGUAAAGCGCGCGUAGGCGGCCGAGUGUGUCGUGCGUGAAAUCUCCCGGCUUAACUGGGAGGGGCCGUGCGAAACUGCUGGGCUUGAGUUCGGUAGGGGGAAUUGGAAUUCCGGGUGUAGUGGUGGAAUACGUAGAUAUCCGGAGGAACACCAGUGGCGAAGGCGGAUUCCUGGGCCGAUACUGACGCUGAGGCGCGAAAGCGUGGGGAGCGAUCCGGAUUAGAUACCCGGGUAGUCCACGCCGUAAACGAUGAGCACUAGGUGUCGGGGGUAUCGACCCCCCCGGUGUCGGCGCUAACGCAUUAAGUGCUCCGCCUGGGGACUACGGCCGCAAGGCUA
rnacentral:rRNA from 1 species